UCUUAAACUUGCAAACCAAUUGUGUUUUCUUCAAGACGACAAAAUGAGUUUCACAAAGAUGUUUGUAACUUACUUUUUUGUGGUUGUAUUGGUUAUUUCUGUUUCCAUCCAACCCCAUAAGGCGUCCGAUAGCACAAAGAAAUAUAUUCCCGUUGGUGUUACAUGCUUAAGUAUUAUAUGUACGAGUACAUAUACAUCGAGAGAAUGUGAGGGUUAUUGCAUAUCAAAUGGGUACAAUAAUGGAGAAUGUCGUCCUUUGGAUCUUGUUAAACCAGUAGCACCUGAGCAUUGUUGUUGUUAUUAUGUAAAACGUUGAUCUGUUAAAUUUCUUAUUCUUACCUUUGCUAUGAGAAGUAUGUGAUUUUAGUAUAACAAAAUCCCAUCAAAUAAAAAUUCCUUUAGUUAGG